CAGUAGCCGCGGUAAUACGAAGGGUGCAAGCGUUAAUCGGAAUUACUGGGCGUAAAGCGUGCGUAGGCGGUUUGUUAAGUCUGUUGUGAAAUCCCCGGGCUCAACCUGGGAAUGGCAAUGGAUACUGGCAAGCUAGAGUGUGUCAGAGGAUGGUGGAAUUCCCGGUGUAGCGGUGAAAUGCGUAGAGAUCGGGAGGAACAUCAGUGGCGAAGGCGGCCAUCUGGGACAACACUGACGCUGAGGCACGAAAGCGUGGGGAGCAAACAGGAUUAGAUACCCCCGUAGUCCCUGUCUCUUAUAC
rnacentral:rRNA from 1 species